rnacentral:lncRNA from 1 species
UUGUUCAAUCUUCUAACUUCAACAAUAUUGUUUUUGGUCUCACAAAGUCAAAUCAAAGAUACAUAGAAUUUUUUUUAUUAUUUGUUACACAGUUCAGUUAUACCCGAAAUAAUCCGAACCCGAACCUUAAAAACCCGAACCCGAUCCGAAGUAUAAAAUAACCUGAAGGGGUUUGUACCUCUCCAUCCAAAAACCCGAAGCACCCGACCCGAAUCCGAACCCGAACCCGAACGCCCAGGCCUAUUGAACACUAUCCAAUUUUUUACUCAAAAAAAGUAAGAUUUCAAAGUUUUUGUUCUCCAGCAUCUACUAAAGAACCACUGCUUUGGCAACAACAUUUAAAACAUCUUUAUGAAGUGGUCACUGGUCAGGUAGUUGAAAACUUGUCGUCUAAGCUGCAGGACCUCGUUGUAUACAAAUUGAAUUCAUUUGGGGAUAUAAACUAUAAGUAAUGGAGCCAACAACACAACACAACUUUUAUCUUCUAAAAGGACCCCCAGCUUUUGACUCCUUAAGACAGUUUGUUACACUAGUUGCCUGAUCAUAAAGAAUCCACCAAUAACUUUUAAGUAGAAGAGAUGACAGAAGCAACAAAAGAAAAUGAAAACUGGUUCCAACGAGGUUUUUACAAGGCAAAAUUCUCUUUCUGAUGUCUUUGCACUUAUUAAUAAUGGUUCUGGAGCAUAAACGCAAAGUGGAUUUCUCUAGGGCCUAAUCAGAUAACAUUCACGCUUUAGUUGCAACAGAGACUAGAAGAAAAUGCCAAUUGUGUAGAGAAAACCGACUCGGCCAAAAAAUAUCAGAGGGCGGGUUGGAUUUUAUCCUUUUUCGGAAAUUCAAUCCGGCCACAGAGACGCCAGUAAGCUCCUGUGUGGAACAGAGACUUCUCAAAAACCCAGAUGUCACGUACGAGCACCUGCAGAAGCAACAAACUUGUAACUCACUUGCAGGUAAGAAAUGUUUUUAAACUUCCAAGUUAAUUACAGUAAGAAAACUAUAAUUUUCUAAAGUACUGCCAACUAGUUGUAGCCUAGAAACAAUCAUAGCUUCCUCCUGAUGCCCCUAUUGUAAAAAUGAAGAGAAAGAAAUGAUUCAAGUACACUUUACCUCUUUCUUCUUGUCUCCAGCUACUACAUUGCCUUUUGCAUCGUAUGCUUCAAAUUUCUGAAGACAGUAAUGAUAUCCAGAACUCAGUACAGCUUCAAAUGCAUUAGAUACAAACUGGUGACUAAAGAUAACACUGACCUGCUUUGUCAGAAACUCAAGUGUCAGUUGUAUGAAUGCUUUACUAAGGUCCGUCCUGUCGAUGCCGAUCUGAAGAGUUGUCAAAAGGAUGAAAAAAAUAUAAAGGUGAGCUUGAAAAAUCCACCAGUGUCCUGUUGCUUCAGAUUCAACAAAUGUAUUGUAUAAUCACUUGCCAGUCGAGCUUGUAAAGUUUUGAUUUUGAUGACCGGCUCAACCAUUUCCCAGUACACACUACCCCACAUGGCUUCUCUUUGUUUAAUUUCGUUCUUCAAUGCCUACAUUAAAAAAAAAAACCAAUAAUUGAACACAGUCUCUUAUGAUACAAACACUGAUAACCAAUUCGUUGGAAAGCUUACAGAAUACAUCCUCUCAGUGACGUUUUUCCUUAUAGUCUUCUUGUCACCAUUGGCCAUCAUAAUGUUAAUCUGAAGCAAAACAUGUGUAGCUAACUCAAGAUGAAUCUUCAAAAACAAUUCACUAUAGAACCAAAACCAAGUGUACAAGUACAUACCUCUUUGUAUAGCUCUAGUGCUUCUAUGUAGAACUUGUUCUUUGAGUACCCAGUCUUUCUUAACUUUGCGAUAGCAUAGGCACUUCUUAGCUGAAAAUUUAGAGUUUCGGACAUGUUAUUAGUAUUUGUUAGGAACAUAUAAUCCAGCCUAGAUAAUGGAUGGAGAUGUUUCAACCUCCCGUACGAAGUCCUCUUUGGUUCUUUUCCAACCGCUUCUAGUGAAACACCUACAAUUCAAAAGAAAGUAGUUAGCAACUCAAUUCUAGGAGAAAAUUUAUGCUCUGACAAUACUUGGGACUUCAGAAAGUAACUACCAGUGAAAAAUGCAGAGACUCGGGCUCAUUGUUGGCAUUAGAACAGCAUUUUUCAAAACAAAAAAUUGAGAAAGUAAGUCAAAUGCUAAACUUACCUCCGCCACCACGGGAUUUUCUCAUGGAGUGUAUAGGGUUCGUAAACAAAUCCAGGACUUACCAUCGACACUCUAACGGCACCCUGCACUCGUAGAUAGUGAUGUGAUGUGAGACAUCAAACCAUGGGAAACAACUAACAUUUGAAAGAAAGAAAAAAUGCAAGAGUGAGGAACUGAAAUUGAGUUAGUUAACACACCGUUUUCUGUAGCUGAGGUGGAGCCUUUACUUGCGUUGUGGCAUACCUUUUGUCACUGCUAAAUGGAACAGACUCUGCAAUCUAAGACACACACACGAAAGAAACAACAAAAGAUUAGAAGUUCAAAACCAGACCAAAAAUUCAUCAAUAAGACUUGAGAUAAUUUUGGUGAUUACCAUUGUAGAUCGAAGCAAAUGUGAGCUGGCAGCGUUGUGGCUCUCGUAUAAGCUUGAAUACACGCUUUUUCCAAGAGUGUCAGGAACUGGACAUGUCAAAUUACAUUACUAAAUAACUCAUAAAGGAUCAAUUCACAGUCAAACAAGUGGAGAAAUUGGGAACUGGACUCAUUACCGUGACAAAGAGAAGAAUGAAAGCUCCUCCAACGCCCCAAUCUGAAACCGUCUCCAAAUUGAGUCCAAGAGAACUCAUUUCCACUCCGAAAACUGGAAACAAAAGAUAAAAAUGGAUUCUUUUUAAGCUAAUUGCAAGUUAAAUAUCACAUCGAAGCAAUGGAGAGUGGAUGCAGAAGCUAAAGAUCGAAUCUUUUUGCGCUAAACAGAGCUUCGUAGAUUCCUAAAGGUUCAACAGCAAACGAUUCACGCAUUUCCCAACGCAAAUCAAAGGAAGAACAAUCAAGUUAGGAAGCUGCUUACGGAAGUGAAGAAGAUUCUCUUGAUCCAGCUGUUCUCAGCAGUGAGCGAACUGUCUGAAACCUCCUCACGAGCGCCAUUUUCGAUCUCAAAGAAAAACCCUAGCUUUCAUUUGAUCUUCAACUCCCAUCCUGUUCGACUUCGAUCGACGGGGUUUAAGGCGGAUGAGAUUCGCUACGUCGCGGAGCACCGUAUCUCGAUGUGCCUCUCUUCUAGACUGAGUACGUGUCCCAACUCUGGAAAAAAAAGGAACAUGAGCAGGUUGCCACAACACAACCGCAGAAAACACAUAUAUUUUGAUGACCAAACCGAGACAAUGGAAACCAAGUGAACCAACACACACUAAAACGCCUAGGAAAACCAGCAAAAUCGCGUUCUAGGACGCGUUUAAAAGAAUCUUGGUUUCUUUUGUUCAUUACAUUAUACAGUACAAUAACGAAGAUCACAUCACGAAAGGCAAAAAGAGAACAGAACAUGAAUGACUCAAAAGUGUUCCAAAACAAUGUCCAUUUGUCUUGUUUGGUCUUAAAUUCUUCAUUGAGCGUUUCACUUUUUUCCUGUUUGAAGAAGAAGAAGACGCUUUUCAGUUAUUGGACCGUCAGAGAAAUAGCAGCAGAUCGAAGCUUCAACUCAUCUUCUUUCCAUUUGGAUUCCGGUGCAGCUGCUCCAGCUAUAAAUACCUUUUCAAGAAACACAAACAAAACAAAAUGAUUAUAUGAGUCAUAUGAAUAUGAAACUAUGAAUCUAAUCUUGAGUUUGCAGCAGAGACCCUCCCCCUGUUCACAGCGGCUACUAGAGCAAUGCGUUCUUCAUCUCUCCCAAACUCGUAGAGGUAGUAAUUUCUACAUCCAAAGAUAAACAAGAAAAUCAACUUUCAUAAACAGAUGAAGAACAUAAACUCCCGGAACUGAUGGGACUAUAGUUCAAAAGGAAACUUGCCUGAAACCUUCUUCUUCCUUAACCUUGAUUGUACGAGCAGAGUAAAUCGUUGCGGCACCUGCUUGUGGUUGAAGCUAUUAACAAACGAUGACCAGAACCAAAAAGACGAAGAUAUAUGAAAGAAUCUCAAAUGCAAGACUGUAAAUGAUUUUCCAAGAUGCAUAUGAUUUAGAGAACCUGGAACAAAGAUUCUUGCAGCUUCCUUCAAUGAUCCCAGUUCAGAUAUAUCUUUAGCCUAUUUGAAUCAGAGAGAAUCUGAUUAGCUCUCCGGCAAAGUGAACUUCUCAAAAUUCAUUUUCAUAAAACUUGCAAAAGAAAUGUUUCUGUGCAAACCUCUAAGAAAGUGAUCUUAAGGGAAUUUGAAGGGCGAAUGACCACGCUCACAACUUCUGAUCUGCAUCAUCAGCACAUUGAUUUGUCACACAAGUUUCCUAAUGAACCACUUGUAGUUGAAUGGAACAAUUUACAGAGGGAAGAGGGAAAACAACACCCAUCAGGAGAUGCGAAACGGGCAGCAAAAGUCUUUGGCUUUGCCUUGUCCCCAUAGAGAGACAACCCUGCAGAGUAAUCCUAAAACAUGAGGUAACACACCAUGUCAAGAAACCAAAAUAGACUUCAUUACUAAGAUUGUACAGAUUAUCAAACGCACAGUGCACUUUAACCAGACUCUUCCACGACAUGUAAAAUUGGCUAGAACAACCACUGAUCUAGACUAAACUUGGCAGCUAAACAAGUGUUCUCACUAACUAAUUAACCAGAGAAGCCACAAAGACUCAAACUUUCCAGCCAGAAACUACCAAAGUCUACAACUUUAACCAAACGAGCAUGCCUUUGCACAGUCUAUCGUCCAAUGUCAAGUAAGAUACUAAACGAAACUACACUCGUUAAUUAGCAUUCACAAGAGAUACACACCUCAGGCUCCGUGAAGUCGAUAAACUGAGGUGGAACUCUGAUCGAGAACCCAUCGCCAAAGUACUGGAACCAAGAGUUAGUAUUGGCAAUGGCGAGUCUAGCCGGUUUGGGAGACUUCAAAGGAUCGGCUAAUGACUGCAGAAGUGGGUUCUGGAAUACGAAGGAGACGAAAUAGAGAGAUGCUGUUCUAAGCACCACAUCUCUCCUAAAGGUGGGGACUUUAAGAGAUGCAGACGGUCCUAGCAGAAAGAGACUCUUAGGUCUUUUAGGGUUUUGGGGUUUGAGGUUUGGGGGAUGGAGAGAGAGGAGGGAGUGAAGUAGAAUGGCCAUGUGGAGAGGAGGAAGAAGAAGAAGAUAGAACAAGAUUUCAUCAUAGCUUGUAAUGGAUAAGAAGUUGUAACUAAGCCGAAGAUAACUAGGAAGACAAAGGGUGCAAGGCGAAGGGUAUAGUAGUCAUUCCGAAGUUAUUUAAGAGUCAUUUAUUCAUACGGCCCAGAUCAUUUCAGGCCCAUUGAGCCCAAAGUUCUAUACUAACUGCUAAGAGAUUCUCCGAGCUUGACACGGCGAAGUCAUGGCGGCGGGGAAGGCAGAGUCACAGUACCUUCAUGUACUCUCUGCUUUCCUCGCAAUGGAACCGGUGGACUCCGUCAUUUCUCUCGCGAGGUAUAACACCACCGUCACUUACCGCCGUCUCCGCCGUGAGCUUCUUUGUUUAAUUUGUUCCGGCGUUUCAUUCUUGCUUUCUGUAUGUACUUUUUAUGUAGAGAGUGUUCCGGAGGAUCACUUACGGAGAGUGUCCAAAGGUUUCUCUGGGAAACUUGCGUUAAAGCUGUAAGUAAAGUACACUCUUGUGCUCUCGUUAUGCCACUAGUCAGAGAAAGUUAGAAGCUUUAGGUUAAGAUCCUGCAUCCCUUUUCAAGAUUGAAACUUGAGUAGUAUUAAUGUGUAUGUAGGCCGCGAGUGGUAACGCAUCAUACGCGAAAAGGUUACUGAAGAAACUCAUAAAUGAAGUUGAGUUGGAGAAAAGUGAAGUGUUAGAUGAAGUGUACGAAGAGUAUGCUCUUCACAUGUCAGCGGCUUCUAAGGUGUAGUUUUUUUGUUGUUGUUAUUGAGGUUUCCGUGUUUUUCGUUAUGUGUGGAGAAUAAAAACUAAGUUUCGUUUGGUGGUUAGGAAGAUACACUGGUGAAAGAAAACAUAAGGAUCACCAAGUUCAUCUCUUUUCUUUUCCCAGAAGGUGAAAUCCUGUCUUUAUGAAUCUUUGUUGUUGUGAUGUGUUUGCGGACUCAUCUGUGGAUUGUUUUUAGUAGGUUUAUACAAACAUCCAAGUUGUCCAAGUUCAAGAAAGUUAGUUGUUCCGCUGCAGUGUUCACUGAACAUGCUUGAAGGAGAUACCGGGUAAGAGUCUUUCUUUGACUGCCACAGAUUCAUUUAGAUGCGCGAGUCUCUUUCUACAUCGCUCACCGUGUGUCCUGUCUGUUGAGCAGGUGUUCAAUCUGGCCCUCAAGUUUGUUUUUGUCAGAGUUUGUUCUGUCAUAUCCAGAGUUAUUCACGGAUAGAUCCUGUUUUGAGGUUAGUUUGACAUCAUGAAGUUUAAGUUCUGAUCAAUUCUGUUCACUUCAGUGAUUUUGAUGGGGUCAUGUUUAGGUUGGUUCUGGAGUUGGUUUGGUCGGAAUUUGCCUUGCACAUGUAAAGGCAAAGAAGGUAUCCUUAAUUGCUUAUUUCCAUCCUUCUCAUCAUAUAAGUACAAAGGCAUGUUGAGUCACAAAAUUUCUCUUGUGCUAGGUGAUACUAACAGACGGAGAUCUCUUAACUCUCUCUAACAUGAAGCUUAACUUGGAGAGGAAUCACUUAAACUAUGAGGACGAGCUGCUCAAACAACACGGAGAAGCUGAGAGUACAGUAAGUAGGAGUUUCUUUGUGCUUUCUGAUUCAGAGUAUAUAUGAUACAGUUAAUUGAUUGUUUCUCCAUUAAGCAGCGAGUUAAAUGCAUCCAUCUCCCAUGGGAAACUGCAACGGACAGUGAACUGAGCGAGUAUCGUCCAGAUAUUGUGUGAGUAAACCAAUAACCAUUUGUUAAAAGAUGUUUGCUUAUGUCACUAACCCUUACGUUCUUAUCAGUCUAGGCGCAGAUGUAAUCUAUGAUCCUUCAUGUUUCCCUCAUUUACUUCGGGUUCUAGUAGCCCUUUUAAGAGGACCAACCAAAAGAGACAAUGGCUCUCUCGAGACUGAAAGACGCAGCCCUGCUGUGGCUUAUGUAGCAUCUGUGAUCCGCAAUGCAGACACUUUCAAUGCGUUCUUGACACUUGUGGAUCAAAUGGAUCUUUCCAUCACAGACUUGACCGAAGAACUUAAGCCUCCGUAUGAGCUUUUACCGUAUAUGCAUUCGUAUGACCGCUCAAGCGUCCGGCUCUUCUCAAUAUCCUCCAGAUAAUCUGUUAAGCAUUUUUGUUACUUUAUACAACUGAAACUGCAGAUUCUUUGAAACUUGUUCCUAUAUGGUAGUUGGUUGAUCAGGUCAAAGGUUUGGUUGUUAAAAUUGCCGUGAGUGUUUCAUCUGGUUGUAGCAAAACAACCGCUAAACACUAUCACUGCUUGUUACUACAAAACGUUAAAAGAGUUUGGAUUUGAAGAAAACUUAUCAUCCUUGUGAUAUUCUGAUACGUUUGAAGCUAGUAGACUGCCAAUACUUUACCAGUAGGUUACGGGUUAGCCCAAUAGAAAAGCAAGACAAGAGAAGCAAGUUGGAGGAAAGGAUCUAGAAGAGUAAGGAAUGCAUAAAGUAGACAAAAGCACAUGGGGGUGUGGGUGUGUGCAUUGCUUCUUGCUUCUUGCUUCUUGGUAGUCAUAUAGACAAGAGGACAUGGGGUGUCUCUUAGUAUUAGGGUUGUACGUGUGUGUGCAACCUAGGACUAGUAUAAAGUAAGAGUAGGACUAGUAUAAAGUAAGAGUAAUGGAGAGAGUGUCUCUCAAUGAGUCUUUCCUUAUAACACAUAUCCAAUAUUGAAGCUUUCUUAUUUCACUUUCACGAGUUCUUAAAGUUUGAGUACAAAGUGUGGUUAGAACCGAGUGACCAAAGUCCAAUCUAGAGCUCACCAAGAACUUAAGAAAGGAGAAAUCAAGACUAGAAAGUGAUUUAAAAUAUGGAUCACCUUGAAAAACAAGAUCUCAGGGAUAAAUGUGCUAGCUUUGUAGCUUUGAGAGAGAGAGAUAAGAUAGAGAUGACUGAAAUUGUUUUCUGAUUAUUUUCUGAAAGCUAUAGUCAGCUGGUACAUAAAGGGGAUCACAAACAGUCACAUACGACCUAUUUGCUGACUCCACAAAAGACAAGAACGAAUGGGACAAACCCCAAGUUUAUUUGAACCAAAAUGAAAUUUAAAAUAAAGCAUAACAGUUUGAUGUGAACCUGUCACACUGCUCCCCGUUUCAGAACAUCCUUGUCCUUAAGGAUCAGAGUUUGGGAACUUGGCGAUGAAGUCUUGAUAGAACUCCCAGGUGGCUUGAGCUGGACUGUAACCUUUCCACUGCACAAUAACCUUAGUAACCGCUGCAUUGUGAUGUUUCACCAUUUUCUUUUCCAGAAUGCAUUCGGGUUCCUUUGCGUUUCCCAAAUCCUGAUAGUAUUGUGGCAAUGCAGGUGCUCCAAAUGGGGGGGGGGGGGGGGNNNNNNNNNNNNNNNNNNNNNNNNNNNNNNNNNNNNNNNNNNGGCGGGGGGGGGGGGGGGGGGGGUUUAGGGCAGAGCUUCAGCUGACUGACAUGAAAGGUGUCAUGAAUCGCAGUACCAGCGACAGAGCCAAUCUUUUCCAGAACACAAAAUGGGCCAUAAAAACGGGGUGAAAGCUUGUGAGACACGUUCCUGUUCUUGAGGGAGUGAUGCCUAUAGGGCUGAAGCUUCAAGUACACAUGAUAACCCACCUUGAACUCUCUGUGAGAUCUGCACGAGUCUGCUGAUUGUUUCAUACGGUUCUGAGCCCGCAGGAGAUGAAACUUCAGCAUGUUGAUGAUCUCCUCGCGUUUCUGCAAACUGCGGUCUAUGACUGCUGAAGAACUCUCACCGGGAAGAUACGGGAGGUGCGUUGGAGGAACCUGACCGUAGACAACCUCGUAAGGAGUACAUCUGAUCGCAGAAUGGUAAGUGGUGUUGUACCACCAUUCAGCUAGAGGAAGCCAUUUAGACCAAGACUGUGGGGCUUCUGUCUGACCAUCAGUCUGUGGGUGGUACGCGGUGGAGUGUUUCAGAUCAACUCCCUGCACUCGCAACAACUCUUUCCAAACCUCACUAAGGAAUGUGGGGUCGCGGUCACUAACGAUGUCUUUCGGCAUACCAUGGAGCUUGAAGAUGUUAUCAAGAUAUACCUGAGCAACCUCGAUGGCCGUGUAGGGGUGAGAGAGUGCGAUGAAAUGAGCGUUCUUGCUGAGUCUGUCAACGACGACCAUGAUGCAAUGUUUCCCACUUGAUGGAGGAAUACCUUCAAUAAAAUCCAUGCUUAUGGACUCCCAUACGCCAUUAGGGACAUGUAGAGGAUGAAGGAGACCGGGUUUAGCAGCGAAGUCGUUCUUGUUCUGUUGACACACUGCGCAGUUCCGAACGUAAUGUUGGAUCUCCACAUUCAUUCGAGGCCAGAAGAACAGAGACUUGAUUCGCUGAGCAGUAGCGUCUCGACCAGAGUGGCCCCAAACAGCAGAAUCAUGAAGCCACUUGAAGAUGUGAAGCUUUACCUCUGCACUUCUGCACUGUUUCCCACAACCAGUUUGCCUUUCCUUCGCAGCUCAUCAUUCGCAAAAGUGAAGGCGGGGUGGGAUUUCUUAUCUGCUUUCAGCUGAGAGAUGAUCUUGCGCAGAGUAGGAUCAGAAUGCCACAACAGCUUUAUGGAGUCAUAAAAGCCGUGGUGAGAUUGAGAUAGUGUGAUGUGGAGAAGUUGAGAGCCCGUGACUCGUGACAAAAUGUCAACAACGACAUUCUCUUUGCCUUGCUUGUAUUGUAUCUCAAAGUUGUACCCCAUGAGUUUUGAGAGCCACAGAUGCUGAAAGGGAGUGGUAAUCUUUUGUUCCAUCAAGUAUUUCAAGCUCUUCUGAUCCGUCUCGAUUAUGAAAGGUCUGUGUGCCAAGUACGCGUGCCAUGUCUGCACCGCAUGCACCACUACAAGCAGCUCUUUCUCGUAGACAGAUAGCGACUGUUGUCGAGGACCUAAAGCUCUGCUGAUAAAGCAAAUAGGGUGGUUCUCCUGCAUCAAGACCGCGCUAAUGCAUGUGUUUGAAACAUUUGUUUCGACCGUGAACGGCUUCUCAAAGUUAGGCAAUGCCAGGACUGGUGAAGUCGAUAAAGCAGUUUUGAGCUUCUUGAAGGAGUAAGAGGCUUCAAUUUGCCAGUUAAAGCCAUCUUUCUUCAAGAGAGUUGUCAGCGGUCUAGCGAUGACGCUGUAGCUUUAGAUGAACCGUCUGUAGUAGUUUGCUAAGCCCAAAAAACUACGAAGCUGCUUCUGUGUAGUGGGGAUAGGACACUGCUCGAUUGUCCUGAUCUUGCUUGGGUCGGUACUGACACCUUCUGCAGAGAUGAAAUGGCCCAAGUAUUCGAUGACAGUUGCUCCGAAUGUGCAUUUAGAGGGUUUAGGGUACAACUGCUCUUGCUGGAGUAUCUGAAACACCUCACGUAGAUGCUUAAGGUGGUCUUCCCAACAAGAGCGGUAGAUCAAAAUGUCAUCGAAGAAGACAAGGAGAAACUUGCGCAGGACACCUUCAAAGAUUCGGUUCAUCAAGCUUUGGAACGUGCAAGGCGCAUUGGUAAGGCCGAAUGGCAUCACCAGAUAUUCGUAAUGACCCGAGUGUGUCUUGAAAGCCGUUUUGUAGACAUCAGCAGGGGACAUGCGAAGCUGAUGGAACCCAUCGCGGAGGUCUAGCUUGGUGAAGUACUUGGCACCACCCAACUCAUCAAGUAAGUCCUCAAGGAGAGGAAUGGGGUACUUAUCCUUGAUGGUUUGUUUGUUCAGACCCCUGUAGUCAACACACAAUCUCCAAGUGUUGUCUUUCUUCUUGACGAGGACCACGGGAGACGCGUAAGGGCUUGAGCUGCACUGAAUGAUGCCUUGACUUAACAUUUCUCUGAUCAUUUUGUCAAUGGCAUCUUUCUGGAUCGUAGAAUAGCGAUAGGGUCUCAAGUUCACUGGAUUAGCGCCUGAUUCCAGAGGGAUUUGGUGAUCGUAGCCAUCUCUGAACGAAGGUAGCUCAGUGGGUUCUUCAAAGAGGUAAGAGAAAUCACUGAGGAGCUCUUGUAGAGCGGGGUUAUCGGCCAUUGUGUUAUCUCCAGCAGAUAAAUGAGACAAGAGAGAGCUGGGUUCGAGGCUCAAUGCUUGCGCUUCUGUGAUUUGUCUCACUUGUAGCAAAGCUCUUUGCGGCUGCUUGGAUAGUAGCUUGUCUAAGGUAUCGCCUUUAAUGACUUUGCAACCAUCUUUUAUGACUCCACGCAACACAUUCUUCUGUCUGUUAAGUGUGAAUUCCAUUCUUGGGUUGAGGAAAUCCCACAAGAUAGGACCUAGCGUGGAAAGCCAUUGAACACCUAACACCAAGUCACAGGAGUCUAGAGGGAGUGUCCUGAUCUCAGAAGUAUAGGUGUAGCCUUGAGCCUUCCAAGUGAAGUUACGACACUUGUAGCGCGAGAGCAUGGUGUUGCCGCUUGCGGCGAUUACAACCAUGGGUCCUGUCUUCUCCAGCACGCAACCCAUUUCGUUCGCAACAUUGAGGUCCGAGAAGUUGUGAGUACUCUCGUUGUCAAUCAGUAUAAAGAGCUUUCGCUUGCCAUACUGACCGAUAACUCUCAUGCAGUUAAAAGUGGAGGAACCGUUGAGAACAUUGAUAGAAAUCACAGAUGCGUCUUCCUCUUUGCUCGUAGUGGCUGCUGCAAGAGUAUUUGUCUAACUCCUCCUCAGAGUCUGAGAAAAGCAGCUCAUCAUCGUCACCUUCCAUGACGUAAAUCUGAGAGCGACUGUGUUUGGAACUGUGGCCUGGUGUGUAGACCUCGUCACAGAACAUACAAAGACUUUUUGCUCUCCUGUCUUGCAUCUCUUGGUAAGAGUACUUUCGAGGUGGUUUAUCGUUGUUUGUGGGAAAGGUAAUGGCUUUAGAGGUGGGCUUUUGUGUGGUUGGGGUAGGGAGGAGGGGGGCGUUGUUUGAGUUUUUGUGGUAAUAGGGUUGGUUGUGUUUGUGGUUGGGAUUGAAUGGAGCUUUGGGUUGUUUGGAGGGUGUGUGGUGAAGGGAGGAUUCGUGAAGCAUGGUGAUCUUCGCAGCUCCGGCGACAGAGGAGACCUCAAACUGUCUAGUGUGAAGUGAUAGAUGACGGUUCAGGUUGGCUAAGAAGAUGCUUAGGGCGUGAGCCUCUGGGAGGAUGAGUCGCAUUCUAGGGGUCUCGAACUUGUCGAGUAACUCAACCACCGAGUCAGAGCCUUGUUUCAACUCGACCAACUCAGCCAGUGGGUCGUCGUAGAGCUCGCUGAAACGGCCGGAGAUGGCCACGACAUACUCAGUCCACGAAGGGAAGAUCCCAUAACGUGUACUCAUAUAGUUAUGGUGCCAUUGGGUGGCUUUACCGGUGAGGUGCAUCGACGCUAAGCGGACCUGAGCUCCGGUGCGGUGGCGUCGAUGUCGAAGAACUGCUCGCAGUUGGAAAUACAAUCGCGGAGGUUUGUGCCGUCAAAAGAUGGGAACUUUAUCUUUGAGAGGCGAUAGGCUAAGCCGUUGUGAGGUUGUGGGGUUCGGUCGGGGCGUUGGUCGGAGUAACCGGUGGUAUCGGGAGGGGUUGGUUAGGGUUGUUGUUUGAGAUGGGGGUGGGUGGGUGAGACGGGCAUGGGUCCAUCGGGGCUUUUCCGACGGCUUGGAGAGGGGAAAUGGUGUUGAACAUCAUCGCCUCAAGUAUGUCGAAACGGGAGUUGAGGGAGUCGUGCUGGGUUUUGACCUCCGCCGCGAGGAGAGUGUGGAGAGAGCGCAUCUCGUCGACAUGUUCGGUCAGAGAACAUUCCUGGAGCCGUGUUUCCACCAUUGCAGCGCCGAGAAUCGAGAGACUUCUGAUACCAAUGUAACAGUAAGGUUAGAACCAAGUGACCAAAUUCCAAUCUAGAGCUCACCAAGAACUUAAGAAAGGAGAAAUCAAGACUAGAAAGUGAUCUAAAAGAAAGAUCACCUUGAAGAACAAGAUCUCAGGGAUAAAUGUGCUAGUUUUGUAGCUUUGCGAGAGAGAAAUAAGAUAGAGAUGACUGAAAUUGUUUUCUGAUUAUUUUCUGGAAGCUGUAGUCAGCUGGUACUAGUCAUGGGCAUAUUAUCUGAAACCCGAAAAUCGAACCGGAACCGAACCAAAAAAACCGGGACCGAAACCGGACCGAAAAUUACAAAAACCCGAAAGGUUCCUAUAUUUCUAAAUCCGAAAAACCGAAACCGAACCGGGACCGAACCGAGAACCGAACGGGUACCCGAAUAUUUUGAAUAUAUUAAAAAAAAAUAUUAUUUUUAAUUUUAAUAUAUAUAAAAUAUAAUUUAUAAAUAAAAAAUAUCUACAAAAAUCCGAACUACCCGAAUAACCCGGACAUGUUUUCGGUUUUUUCCGAGUUUAGAUCGAGUUUUCGGGGUUUUUUCGGUUUUUUGGGCUUUAAACCCGAACCACACCCGAAUUAUUUGUAAUGCAGUUCCAUUUCGGGUUUUAUAAAAAAAUAGAAACCCGACCCGAACCCGACACUAUCCGAACCGAACCGAUCCGAAAAAUGUCCGGUUCCUAAAUAUCCCAAUCCGAAUAGCCCGAAAACCGAAUAAACCGAACCGACCCGAACCGAAAACCCGAAUGCCCAGCAGUAGCUGGUACAUAAAGAGAAUCACAAACGGUCACAUACGACCUAUUUGCUGAUUUCGCAAAAGACAAGAACGAAUGCGACAAACAAGUUUAUUUGAACCAAUGAAAUUUAAAAUAAAGUAUAACGGUUUGAUGUGAACCUGUCACACAAAGUUCUUAUCAUCUUGUGCAAAAAGUUUAUUUUACUCUCAACUUUCUGCUCUGUGACAGUGAUCUGAUGUCAUUGUCGAUAUAAAUUAUUUGAUUUAUUGGUUAUACAGAACGAAUCUCGAUCUUGAUGGCUUAUUUUAUUACAUCAUCAGUCACCAAACUGGAUGUGGCAGGAGAUAAGAUAAGAUGCUUAAACUAAUUUGAAAAGAUCAUAUAAUUAAUAGGAAACAUUUUUAUCUUUUCCCGAAAGUGAGAAAUAAAGUUUUAUCUUCUUUUACGUGAGGUCAAGAUUCUCUGGCUGUUAAUAUAUAACGAGAGACACGGACAAAGGCAAUGACUUUCUUUACCCUAAGUUAGUAGAGUAGAGCGUUUGAUUUCAAAGCAGUAUUCUGUAAUGGAGGUGAUCCACGCAUGGUCUGCUCCAAGAUCACUCAGCACAUCUCUCAUGUACUCCUUUGCUCAGGUACUUUUCUUCUUCUUGCUUCACUGAGAGAAGACUUUUGAGUAUUCCUGCAGUUAUAGUUGUUUGGUUUCUCUCUGAAUCUAUGAUGAUGAAAAUAAAACUAACAUUUGAUUCACUGAAAAAACAUUUUUGUGGGUGUGAGUUGUAACUUGAAAAGAUGUUUUUUGGUUUGUAUGACUCAGAGAGACGACACUGAAGUGCUGGACGAGCCAUUAUACGCUGCAUAUCUUAAAUCUACAGGUGCUGAUAGGCCAUACAGAGAUGAGCUUCUCUCUAAGAUGGUAUGUCAGUAAUUGAUUUAUGUUACAGUGCAUUAAGGCAAUGCUUAGUCUACUCAUUAUGAGGAGAAAUCAACAUAAUUGUAGGAGUGUGAUGGAGAAAAGGUGGUGAAGGACAUCAUUUAUGGUCCAGGAAACAAAAAGUAUAGGUUCUGUAAGGUUUAGACUCCGAUCUAGGGACUUCAGUUUCGUAUUUAUAUUGUCACUGUGUUUGGGAUAACAUUGUGAUUCUGUUUUGUGUUUCUUGCCCUUCUGUGUACAGCAUAUAUCGAAACAGCGACUUCUUGGUUUGCCAAGUGAGCUAAUGAGCAAAGGGAAGCACUUUAUCUUGAUACGCAAUCCCCUUAACAUAUUGGUUAGCUUUAUCAAACUCUAUUCUUCUGAACUGGUUUAUCUUUUAAAUGUUUGAGAUGUUUCUUCUCAUUGUUAUUGUUUUGUUUGAAAUUCUAUUGCAGCCUUCCUUUGAGAAAGUACACCCUUUAUCAUUUGCCGAACUGGGAUUGGGAGAGUUAGUAUCGAUAUACAGCGAUCUCUGUCAGAUGGGAACCCCACCAGCAAUCGUCGAUGCAGAUGAGUUUCAGCAAGAUCCCGAGGUGAAGGUUUCAUUGCAAUAGUAUGAAAACAUUGACAAUCUUGCUUAUUUUUUUGCAUCAUUCAUUCUAUUUCCAGGGUACAUUACGUGGUCUUUGCAGUGACCUGGAGAUACCGUUUCAACCCUCUAUGCUUAAGUAAGACUCUUUAGCUUUCUCUUGGAUUUGACCAUAAACAGCAAGAGAAUGACUCAUUGUUUGUGUGUGUUGUUGAAGAUGGGAGGCUGGUCCUAUACCAGAAGACGGACUAUGGGCUUCAUGGUGGUACAAAACUCUUCACAAAUCAACAGGGUUUUCGUCUCCUAGGCCCUAUCCUCAUGUACUGGUUUGAGUUUAGUACAACUAUUAAAGAUCGUGGAACUCAAAAACAUCAUUCAAACUAACAUUGUCUGUUUUCUAUUGUUUUCUCAGACAUUCCCUUUGAAGCAUUACGAUUUGCUGGAGCAAUGUUUACCGCUAUACAACAUCCUCAGGCGCCACGUGAAGCAUAAGUCAUCUCUCUUGACCAGCAACUUAACUCCUCCCAGUCUUCCAGUUCCUGAAAACGCUAAGCUUUUCGCUUGGGUUGGUGAUGAGAUUGUGCCACGUGAGAUGGCGAAGGUGCUUGCUUGAACCAUGAACAUAGAGUCUCUGUUUGUUAUUAGCUGCUUGCUUUGAAACUCUGAUGUUUCUUUAUUCUUGUUUGAAGGUUUCUGUUUUUGACUCGGUCGUGCAAGGCGGUGACUCUGUAUGGGAAGGUCUUAGGAUAUACAAAGGGAAAGUGUUCAAGCUUGAAGAACAUCUAGAUCGGUAAGAACCAAGUCAGAAUAAAAAGUAAAGCAUUUCUUAUUAAUAUGUUGAAAGUAUUGGAUAUAGGUUGUUUGAUUCAGCAAAGGCUCUGGCUUUCAACAAUGUCCCGACCCGGGAGGAGGUAAAAGAAGCCAUCUUCAGAACUCUCAUAACCAAUGGGAUGUUUGACAAUACACAUAUAAGACUCUCUCUUACUCGAGGCAAAAAGGUAUUAUUGCUUACACCUUUUACCAAGUUCAAAGUUGUUUAUAUGUUUUCAUUUUAAACUCAAACAAGCUACGAUGACUUUGUUCAGGUCACUUCUGGAAUGAGCCCUGCAUUUAACCGUUACGGUUGUACUCUGAUUGGUAAAAGUUUCAGAUUUGUCUCUUGCAAGCAUACAACUUGAAUAUGGUUUUGGCAUGAAACUUUGUUUGUAUGAUCGUUUUUUCUUCAAAAAUAAUGCAGUCCUGGCCGAGUGGAAGCCUCCAGUAUAUGACAACGAUAGUGGAAUUGUGCUAGUGACUGCAACUACACGCCGCAAUUCACCCAACGUAUAAGUCUCUGGAACUCUCAUAAAGUGGUCCAUUGUUGUUUUUUUUUCUCUUAUUCUACUCUUGUUUUUUUUCAGAAUUUGGAUUCUAAGAUUCACCACAACAACCUCCUCAACAACAUACUCGCAAAGGUUUUCAUCUUUUUCCUCCCGCAUCAAGUUUUGAUUGUGAUCUUGUGUCAUCAUUGGAUGAUGAUUUCUUUUUCAUAAUGACACAGAUUGAAAGCAACAAUGCCAACGUGGAUGAUGCAAUCAUGCUUGACAAGGAUGGCUUUGUGUCUGAGACCAAUGCAACCAACAUUGUAAGAUCCUCAUUGAAAAUAUUUUAUUCUCUAGAAAAGCUUACUUAAUGGUGGGAGGGAUUGUGCGUUUUGAUGCAGUUCAUGGUGAAGAAGGGCCGAGUUCUCACUCCCCGUGCAGAUUAUUGUCUCCCAGGCAUCACCCGAGCUACUGUUAAGAGAGAAGAAGAUUUUUACCAUUUUUACCAUUUCUUAACAUAUCUCAGUGACUAUACAACAUUACCAAACUCAUCACCAUCUCAUCAAUGUAUAGGUCAUGGAACUGGUGGUGAAAGAGAACUUCAUCUUAGAAGAACGAAACAUCAGCUUGUCUGAAUUCCAUACAGCUGAUGAGGUUUCCUCAUCUUUUUCCCUUUAUCUUAGAAUAUCUUAAAAUGAUCCAGUAAAGAUUUAAAUUUCAAGUUCAACUAUAUAUCAAUCUUUUUUUCAGGUAUGGACGACAGGAACUAUGGGAGAACUUAGCCCGGUACACAACACAAUCUCUAGUUCAAUGCUAUUAGGGAAUGUAGUGAUUUUCAAAACAUUGGAAGCAAAACGUUUUACAACACUUUUGUGGCUUGUUUCAUGGCAUUUAUGAAUUUGAGGUCAUUGUUCUUAGGUUGUGAAAAUUGAUGGGAGAGUGAUCGGUGGAGGAAAGGUAGGACCAGUGACAAGAAGAUUGCAAAGCGCUUACAAGAAACUGACGGAUGAUUCUGGCGUCCCAAUACCUACUUACCAAAAGAACAUUGACACAUCAUGUGUUUGAUCAAUAGAACACACAAGGUAACUUACGUUGCUAAAUGGUGUUAAUUUCUAUAAUAUUGGUUAUAUGAAUCGCAUGCUUAUGUUUCAAUCAAACGUCAUUUGUUUCACAAGAAUGAUAAUCUUUGACUCAAAAAUAACGGUAUAAUGGUAACACUAAAAAUUAAAUUUUUAGGUCAACAAACAAACAAAUAAUUAGAAUGUAAACGAAAUUAGUAACGUGAGCCAAACUCAAAGUUAAUGUAAACCAAAAAAGAGUCCUAAUCUACUUAUUAAACGAUCAUACGAGAUCUUCUUCUUUGUAACAUAGUUAGUUACGUUUUCUUGUUCCCAUAAAUUUAUUUUUCCUUUUUCAACCAUGGUGCAAAAAUUAAAAUUGUGUGUGCUAGAUUGAUAUUUGGAAAACCCAAAAACGGUGGAGGAGAGUUUGGCUGACCGAGAUAACAAGAUCGGGCAAGAUCGAGGCUUAUCAAAGGCUUGAGAAAUCGAAGCUUAUGUGACCAACAUUUGAAUCGAGACAGGUCUAACAUAUGGAACCUUAAUCUAUAUUUUUAUUUUUCAUUUUGGGGAAAAGUAAUGUUUUCUGUUUUAUUUUUAUCGAGAUAUAAUAGAGGAAUGGGUUUUGCGUUUUUUCUUUUCUGUUUUAAAUUUGUUAUUGAAAUAUAUUAUUAUAUAUAAAUGGCAUUCUGAAUUAUGUGUGGAAAGUUAGAGUUAGUUCUUUUCUCUUUAUUAGAAAGCUAACUUAUUGUCCAUUUUCUUCUUUUUCCUGGUCAUUUUGUCAAACAUCUUCUUUUGUCUCUCGAUUCCAAAUAAUUUUGUCCAAAUGUUCUGACGUCUUUCUUUUUAAUAUUUUGUCGGCUUUAGGUUCAGAUGUAUGGCUUUCGGAAAGAAAAUGAGACAGUUAUGUCUCUUAGUUCAAUCUUCUAACUAGGUCUCUUCGAAUAUUAUACUUUUUGGUAUCUUGAAAUCUGGUUCUAAAGAUUCCUAGAAAAAGUAUAUUAUCGAUCAGCAAUCUAUAUAAUCUGUUCUCCAAUUCUAAAAGUAUUCUUCAAGUAAAUAGUUUUGAGAUAUUAUUAUUCAAUGAGUCAGACUACAAGAUGUGGUAGACGAAUCUAACAAGGACUAAUGUUGCAGACGCGCUAUUGUCUGCUAAUCUAUCGGAUAUGUGCAAUCUAUUGUGAGGUACUUUAACAACAACUGAAGCAACUCAAAUGGAAUAUUGUGGCAGAGCUUUGAUCACCCGACAAACAUUUUACUUCCAGGAAUGAUACUUCAAUAUGAUCUUGGAAUAGAGUACAUGAUCCUUAAGUUUCUCUUUUGGCCUCAUAGAAGAAUGUGCCAAAACUUAAGGAUCGGAGGUACUUCAUUCCAUGAUUAUAUCCAAGUAUCAUUCCUAGAAGUAAACGUAUGUUAGGUGACUAAGGCUCUACCUUAAGAUCAUGUUUGAGUUGCUUCGGUUGUUGUUAGAGUAGCUCACAAUUAGAUUGCACAUAUUUGAUACAUUAUCAUAGAACGCUGUGUUUGCAGCAACAGUCCUUGUUAGAUUUGUCUGCCACGUCUUGUAGUCCGACUCAUUGAAUAAUAAGAUCUCAUAACUACUUAUUUGAAGAAUACCUUUAGAACAUGAGAGAGGACUACCUAGAUUUUCAAUACAUAAUAUUCUUCCUGGGAAUCUCCUGAGCCAGAUUCCCAGAUACCCAAAAUAUGAUAUUUUAAGAGACCGAGUUCAAAGAUCGAACGAGGGAACAUAAUUAUUUCACUUUUUUCCGAAAGCCACACAUUUGAGCUUAAAGUCGACGGAAUAAUAAUAGUUAAGAAAGAAAAACGUCGAAACAUUUCUUUGGAUGUAAUUAUUCAGAAUCAAGAGACAAAAGAAGAUGUUUGACAAAAUGACCAGAAAAAAAAUUCAUUUUUUUAAUAAAGAGAAAAGUACUAACUCUGACUUUCCACACAUACUCGAAAAUACAAUUUAUACAUAAUAGUAUAUAUCAAUAACAAAUUAAAAAGAAAUAGAAAACACAAAGCUCAUUCAUUCCUCUACUAUACCCUGAUAAAAACAAUACAGAAAUAUUACCUUUCCCAUAAAGGAAAAAAAAAAUAUCUUAGGGUUCCAUAAGUUAGACUUGUCUCGAUUCAAAUGUUGGUAACAAAAGCUUCGGUGAGUCUUGACGAUUCUCGAUCUCGCCCGGUCUUGUUAUCUCCGUCAGUCAAACUCUCCUUUACGGUUUUUGGUUUUUCCAAAUAUCCAUCUAGCACGCACAAUUUCAAUUUUUGCACCAUGACUGAAAAAGAAAAAAAAAUUAUGGGAAUACGAAAACAUAAUUAUGUUACAAAGAAGAAGAUUUCAUAUGAUGGUUUAAUAAGUAGAUUAGUACUCUUUUGGUUUAAAUUAACUUUUUUUUUGUAACACAUUCAUUCAUUCAAACUUUAAAGACCCCUAAGGAUUGAGUUCAAUACAAUAGUUUCAAGGCGCAAAGCUUUCUUAGCCAAAGCAUCGGCAUCUUUGUUUUUCUCCCGUGGGAUCCACCUGAACUGAAUCAAUUCAAACUCUGAGAUUAAGGCGACAAUGUCAGAAAUAAUGCCAUAAAGUUCUGGACUUGGUUUCCUUGAGGUAAUUGCUUUGACAAGCAACACUGAGUCUGUUUCACAUCGGAGGCGUUGGAUCCCCAACUCUCGACAUUUCUGGACUGCUUCGCGCAUGGCUAGUGCCUCCGCUACCAGAGGAGACGCCACGUAGUAGCAGUGUGCACCAAAUUCUGAACGCUUUGAGUUCUUGUGGACGGUCCACCCAAGACCUGCAAGUCCUGUAUCUGCUCCCCAUGUUGCGUCUGUUUGUAAACAGUGGCAGUUCUCAAUUGUUGUCUCCGCUCUAGGGUUUCUUCGGGGGUUGAUUACAGUUGGUUCCUGUGCAUUCAGCCAUUCUCUCGCAGCAGCUACAGCUCGGGAGAUGACAUCUUCUGGUGAGGCCGUUUUCUUGUUGAAAAAAAGGUUGUUGCGUGCAAUCCACAAUGACCAGAGAAGCCAAGGGGUAAGUACAGCAGACGUAAGGCCAAUUGGGGGAAGGCAGUUCAAUCUUAGCAGGUCCGGCCAAUCCACAGGAAAGUCUAUCAAUCCGCUACCCUCAACGUUUGGGGUGAUGGGAGCUAGUGCCCACACCCUUUGAGUAAACUCACAUUGAAAGAGUAGAUGAUGGAUAGAUUCAGUGAGACCGCAUCGUACGCAUUUUGGAUCACCGGCUAUAUUCCUCAAGAUUAAUCUUUCUCCCACUGGUAAUGCUCCUUGGAAAACCUUCCACAGGAACAGCUUGAUCUUAGGGGCAACUUCCAGUCCCCAAAUCCCUUUAUUCCAGUCAAACUCCGCCUGGUGGUGCUGUUCUUCGUGUUGUCGCAUCAUUUCAUACGCUGUCCAGUAGCCAGACUUGGUAGUGUAGUCGCCCGUUGCGGUUUUGAGCCAGCUAAGUUUAUCAGCAGCCCCUGUUUUGCUCAGUUUUAUUCUGAGGAUAGUAUCUUCGUACUGAGGAAUGGUGGCUUGGAUCUUUGCUCUGUCCCAGUCAUGUUGGAUAGGGUCAAUCAGGUUCGCGACCUUUAGGUGAACUAGGAGUUCGGGAGCCGGUCCAAUCGAACGCACUUGGUUUGCAGUAUCCAACCAGGGGUCGUUCCAUACUUCUAUAUCCUCACCAGUACCCAUUGUCCAGCCAGUGUUUGCUGCGAGAAGGUCACGACCUAUCAUAAUUCCACGCCACCCAUGGGAUGCGUUGGCCCUUGUCUCAACUUCCAUGAAACUCUCGUUGGCGCAAUACUUGCCAAGAAGUACUUUGCACAUCAGGCUUUCCGGGUAGUUUAAGACUCGCCAGCUUAACUUAGCAAGAAAGGCGUCGUUGUAGCAUUGUACCUCGCGGAAACCUAGUCCUCCUUCCGAGGCAUGUUUUGUCAUUGUUGACCAUGCGACCCAAGCCAUUUUCCGUGUCCCGUCAUUGCUGUCCCACCAGAAGCGCGUAAAUGCGGAUUGUAUUCUUUUGCAAAGAGAGACAGGGAGUUUGAAGCAAGUCAUCGAGUGGGAGGGGAUUGGCGUUAGGACGUUUUUCAGCAUAGUGAGUUUCCCGGCUGUAGAGAGGAAUCUAUUUGACCAGCUCUUCGCUUUCUGUUUUAUUCUCUCCACAAUCGCAGUGAAGAGAUCUUUUUCCCGUCUACCGAAAUGUUCGGGCAAGCCAAGGUAUUUGCCAAUACCUCCCUCUUUCUGAAUCUGCAGCACUUCUUUGAUGGAUGUCUUUAAAGAUCCCGGAGCUUUGGAAGGGAAGGUGACAGUCGACUUGUUGGGGUUGAUUGUCUGACCCGACGCUAACUCGUAUUGUUUCAGAAUAGAGACCAAAGCCGAGCUGCUGUCCUUGUCCGCUUUAAUGAAGAACAUCGUGUCAUCGGCAAAGAGGAGGUGGUUAACCUGAGGGCAGCCCCUGGCUACUCUGAUCCCCUCCAUGCUGCCGUCCGCUUGCGCAUUGUUACACAGCCCCGAGAGCACUUCACUACACAAGAUGAAUAUGUAUGGUGAUAGUGGGUCUCCUUGUCGGAUUCCCCUGCUCGGUUUAACUCUUCCUCUAGGCGAGCCGUUGAUGAGGAAGGCGUAGGUAACAGAUGUGAUGCAAGCCAUGAUCAGGUCGACCCAUUUUGCGUGGAAUCCCAGCCGUUUAAAUUAACUAUUAGUUUGGUUUACUUAACUAAUCUCGAUUUCAUUCUAAUCAGUUGCUUGUUGAUAACCAAAAAAAAUAUUAUUUGUUAGGACCACUAUUUAGAGUCGUUAAAUUUACAUGUACUGUAAACCCACUUUUUGGGGGAGGUAAAAUAUUAAGAUAAUAAAACCACAUUUGAGUUAGUGAUCACGGUAGAGAUAUGAAGCUUCGAUGGCUAAGAGCUUUCUAGAAGGAUGUAAAUAUCAAAGGUGGCCAAGACAAGUAAAGGGAAAGCAAUUUUAAAAAUUUGGUUAUUUUCGUUAUCAUGUUUAAAGUUAAUGGCUUCCUUUCUUGUGGGAAUACAAAUGUAAAGCUUGUUGCUAUCUGCUGAUGCAGCUUAUCAAGCUUUUUACAAACCAAUUUGAUAAAUCUCAAGAGAUAUAAAAAAUAAUGGAUGAAACUUGCGGGUGAAAAGGUACAUAUAAAGAAUACGAAAAUGAGCAUAAAGACCAUGUCAAACUCUCCAAAGUCACCACCGAAGUGUUAAUGACUUUCACCGUCACCUCAAUUUGUUACACAUUUGUUGAUGAUAUAUUUAUAAAUAUAGAUAAACGGAUCUUUUACAUAUUUAAAAAAUAUAUUCUAGUGAUUUUUUUUCGCUCAAUGAGGUCAAUAUACAAAAUAAAGAUGGAAAUAGUAGAACCAUGCAUUGAUUUAUUGAAUUUGCAAGAUUGGUAGAAGAGAUGAGGGUAAAAUGACGAACUUGUCCCUGCAGUGUACAUAUACAACUAGAAAGUUGAUAGAAACUAGUUUCGCGAAAAACUAUAGCCCAACAUUAUGUCAGUAUAUUGUCUGAGCAUUGUUUUUUGCAAAAGAAAACAAACAAUUCAAACCUAAACAAAGGGGCAGCGGAAAUGGGCCCUUCAAUUUUUAAUGGGACAUAAGAAAUUAAAAAUGAAUUUUGUUUUUGCUAGGCUAUGAAUUGUUGGUAAAUAUAUCUGGUUAUUGACAGGGUUACAAAGCAAGUGUUGUUGAUAAACAAAUUUUUAGGUUCAGUUAUGAUGAACAAACAUUAGAAGUUCGAUAACAUUCAUAAUGAUGGAUAGAAGUUUAGUUUAUUACAAAAGAGGAAAAAUUCUGAUUAGUUAACUUUUAAGAAUUUAAAUCAAACCAAAUUAAUUUAUUGACAAUGGAGUAAUACUUGGUGGAUUCAUGUUGCUUUCUGGUAACAAAUUUGCUAGCUAUGUGAAGAUAAAGUUCUUGAGACUCAAUAAUAUAUUUAAUACAUAGAUAAUCCGGCUUUUGAUAAUAGUAACGAGAAGGUUGUAUUUGUAUGAAUGCAUAAUAUAAUGAGAUAACAUAUCAUAUAAUCGAGUUGAAGUAAUAAAAGAGAUAGAAUAAUUGUAUAUGUGAGUAUAACCGUGUAUUACAAAGUUAAUCAUGGAUACAACAUGUAAUAUCAUGCAUUAAGAUAUGUGGUAACCGGUUAUUUUGCUUUAAAACCGAGUCUGUAUCAAGAUAUACUUAAAUUGUAGCCAGAUAUGUUUUACUGGAAAGGUACUCAUUAGCAGCGUGAGUACACGCGCGUGCUUGGAAGAGAAAAGUGAAGGGGGAGAUGGUGAUCGCAACUGCUAUUUUUUUCGUUUAAGGCAAGAACAAUCAGCAAGAAACCUUAAUCACAACCACCAUCAAAACUCAACAUCCUCCGCCGUUCUUGCUAUCUUCAUUAUUGUCACCGUCGGUCAUAUUCUCCAAUGUUAAGCCAUUGUUGUCAUUGUCGGUCAUAAAGAUUAAAAACCUGAUAUAUUAAAAACCGUUAACCGGAUAUAAACAUUUAUAACCUUAUACAUUCACUUCAUCGAAUGGCUUUUAGUAUCUAGAUUAUUUUACGAAACCGGAUUUGCCUAGUUGUAACCAGUUUUAUAAUUAUCUAUCUGGUUGGAAUAUUAUAGAAAGUAUGUAAACACUGUUUUCUCACAUUUGAAUUCAUAAAUGAAUCAUCGUGGAUGGGUUUAGUUGGAUCACAAGCAGUCUUGGAUGGCCAGAGGAGAGCUGAAGACACUUUUGUGGGGUUGGGAAACUCUACUCAAUCUCUUAAUUUGACAUUGGGUGUUCCUAACAUUGAACCUAUAAGCGUAGGUGGAUCAUAACAAAUACCUUAACUUUCUUGAGCAAAUCACAACCAAUCAUAUAAUGGUAAAAUUCACUUCUACUUCCUGUCCAAAGCCGAAAUUAAUCAACAAAACUUAGCAUUGAAGUGAUAUUUUCAAAAGAAAAGAGGCAAACUUUUCAAACCUGAGGAGAUGAAGAAAGAGCUGAUUGGGUCGUUACUCUCAAUACCUUGUCUUAAACCCAGAAACUCUAAAGCCUUAUAGCCAGAAACCUGAAGCAAUCUCUCUAUGAGUUUCCAAUCAAAUAAACUGUCAUCAACAACUAAAACAUGAAACUUCCAAUCCGUUGCUGCAAUACCCAUUGCAGAAAAAGAACUGAAGAUCUAAUCAACGAACCCAUAUGUAAAGUGUCUGACUUUUUUUUUUCUUUUUCUUCACUAGAAAGACUCAAUUUUUUUGUUGGGAUUGUUGCUAUUUGAAUAUCUCUUCACGAUGUGAGGAAGACACCAUCUCGAGAUCCAAGAGAUAACUAUCUUUAGGGGAGAAUAAAAGUUUUUAAAAAAUAGAAAAAUGAGAUGAGGUUUUUAUUUUCUCUGUUUUUUUGCAUUUGAGUGAUAAUAAUGUUUGUUUCAAUUUCUGUUUAAUUAUUUCAAAAGCUGCUUGGAGGAUAAAGGUAGGAGUUUUGUCAGACCCAUGUCCGAGAGCUUCAAUAGGGUUAUUGUUGGGAUUAUGGAAAUGUACAGUCGCAUAGCCAUUUAGCUAAUUAUACUUCUUAUUUUUGUUAUCUAAUGCAAAUUCCGUUUUUUUUUUCUUUGUGUUCUUUUGGUCAAAAACCUAUUUUAAGAUUUUUAAGAAAUUUGCCUUUUUUAUUUCAUAAAAAGUCUUCUUAAAACUUUGCUUCGUUAAUUUUAUCAUUUUUUUAAUUUUAAUAGUUAAGAUUUAAGAAUAUUUUUUAUGUUUUAAAAACUAGAUAUAUUAUGAUAUGACAAAAGAAACUAUUGACAUAAGAGAUGGUCUCUGUUAGUAAAAACUGAACAUAUAGACUAGAGAGAGAUAUUGAGAAGAGAGAGAAAGAGAGGAAGGAGAAAGUUAAUCUAAAAAGGCCGGCGUACGGCCGGCGCGUGAGCGUCCGUGCCAUCGCCGGGACCUUUGUUUCUGGUGAAUAAUGAUCGCAUGUGUUCCUCCUCGCCGCUUCUCACCACCGAUAGCCUUGUCGGAGCUCUGAAGUUUGUCUCCUUCCUUUUCGGUCGCGAGUAGUUUGGAGUAAAGACGCGUCGGUGUUGUGUUCCAGGGCGUGGAGGUUUCGGCUCUUUUGCGCAAGUGGUUGUGGUCCGAGCGAUGGAGGCUCUCUCAGCUCCGUUGACGUCGGUUUAGGUACCCGUCGUGGCUCCUGUUACGAUAAAGAAGAACGGUCGGCUAAAGUCUCCGCGUCGCCAUACUCCUCGGUUGACGGCAGCUCUGUGUUGUUUUUUUAUGUUCGGUUUUAUUUGCGGUUUCUCGUUCUGUGCCUUAGGCUCGUACGGUUUGGUUCCGACGAGGUAGAGGCGCAGAUGGAAAGGGUCCAUGGUGUAAGCGAUGAAGUGGUAGUCAGUUGAGUCGAGAAGCUCUUCGACGGUGUUUUAAGAUGGUUUCACGCGGAGUCUUCUUCUCGGUGUUGGCGGUGAUUAGUGGUGGAGGAGAUCUCGCAGGUGCGAUUGAACCACUCCGAUUAAGGAAUCACCUGAGUCGAGAUUUUUGCGGUGAAGAAGUGUUGGAGUGGCUGGCCUCCGGAGAGUUCUGGCGGUACGGUCAGGGGCUCGGAGGAGAGUUGCAUGCGGCGGCAGCACUCUUCGUUUCUAGGGUUUUCAAUGUUUGGGCCUUUGGGCCGUAUUUCGAGUGUGUUUAGGCUGGUGGCCCGGUUGUAUGUGGGCUUCACCCCUUUUGUAUCUUUGCUGGGCUCGGCCCGUUUCAUUAAUAAAAUUGACGGAAAAAUAAAAAAAAGAGAUGGUCUUAAAAAUACAUAAACACUAGGGAUAGGCCCGCCCUACGGGCGGGUAAGUUUGCACUAAAAAAAUUUAUAUUAAAAUAUUUUAAUUUUAUAAAUUUUACUUUAUACUCAAAACAAUAAAUAUAAUUUGUUUUUAUUCUAAAAUUAUAUUCAAAACUUUAUUAAAUUUGGUUGGUUUGAGUUGAAAAGAGCACUAAUAUUUUUUGGUUAGAGAUCACAAAAUUAUUAAAUUAAAAAUUUAACGAAAAUGUAAUGAUUUAUAUUUUUCUAUUUGAUUUCUAGUUCAAUUUUAUAUAGUUGAAAAAGAUCUAAAGUAAGAAUAACUAAUAAUUUUAUAUUUGUAAGAGUAUCAGAUUUUAAUACUAUUACAAUAACUAAUUUUCACGAUAAUAAAUUAAUACAUCGACCUCCAAGCCAGCUCAAUUAAAAAUCAAAUGUAAUGUGAUAAAAUAAUAAAAAUUUAUAUUUUUAAUUAACAUAUAAAUAGUUUCAAUAAUAUCAUAAAUAAUAAUUAGUAUAUAUUAUGUAACAACAAAUGAUGUUUAGAAUAUAUGUUUGUUUAAGUUUAUAUUAGUUUUUCAAUUUAUAAUAAAUUUUCUUUAAUUUUUAGUGUUUUAAUAAUUAUUUUUUGUAAAUUAUUUUAGCAUUUUCUGAACUUAUUAUAAAAUAUAUUGGUUGGAAAUUUCGCUCAGGGUAUUUGAAAAUAUUUUUAUAAAUUUAUAGUGUUAUAAAUUAAUAAAGUAUUACAUUUCUAACAUAAUUUUACUUGAGUUUCAUACCUUACCAUAUCAAAUAAUUUAAAUGUAAUCUGGAAAUUAAGAUGAACCAAACUGCAUACAAAUGUUUUUUCUGAAAAUUGUUUUUCUCUUCAAAGAAUAAAACUAAAAGAAGUAACUAAACUUUUUAAACUUUUUCGUGUUGCAUGUAUUGAAUGAAAUCAUAUAUAAUUCCUCUCUAAUCAAACAUUUCAUUCUCAGUUUCCACAUAGUAACAACAAUAACAUCGAAAAGCAUAUAUACAUAACUAAAUGGAACAAAACAACAUAUUAACUUUAUAUUCCAUCCCAAAACAAUCAAAUAAUAUGUCAUCAAACAAACAAUUAUGCACAUCAAAACUGCAGAAAUUCUGUUUUGAAACUUAUUAAAAUGAUUUUUUCAAUGAUUUCUGGAGGUCCAUCAUUUUUUUUCUUUCUAACUUUUUUAUUACUAUUGUUGCUCUGACUUUGAUGAAAUGUGCAAAAAAAAAAUCGCUAACAAAUCUCUCUUCUCUUCUGUUUUUCUGAAUUUUGUCUAUAAUUUUUUUUUUGAUAAACCUUUAAGAUUGUUCAUGUAACAACUUUGUUUCUUGCCAAUACAAACAUCGGAAGGACACUCGGCAUACUAAUAAAUACUCAAUUAAAAAUAAAAUCAAACAAAAAUAGUGCUUUAAAAUUGAUAUUACUACACAUCUUAGCGCAAAUUGAGUUGGUCUUCUUGACUACGGAUCAUAAAUUAUGUGUAGAUAGGCAAAGGUACCUUAUGUAUGUGUAGAUAGGCACUUCCUGAUUUAGAACCUCGUCCUUAUAUGCUCGAUUUCCAGCAACAUCAUCAUCAAACUUCCGUAGACAAAUCACAGUAAAAUAAUAAAUUUUUGUCACAAGGAUUUCAAAGGAAGAGAAGAAAGACCCGUUAUGAAAAAAUAAGAUACCUCAGUAUCUGUAAUGGUGUUUCAAGCAGGUGAGGCAUUAUCUCUUACAGGCUCUAUGUUAUUAUCUUCUAUGCCAGCCAUAUCAUUAUCACUAUCACUGUCGUCAUAAAAGUUAUCUGAAUCCUUUCUAGACUCUUUUGGAGCUUCCACUUUAGCGGUUGCACCAAACACUCUUCUACCACUAACAUUAGUGGCUUUUUUAGAGUUUUCUCCAUCAGAAUUUUUUCACUCUUCAUACUCCUCAAGUGCACGUUUAGCAUCUUCAUUAGCUUCCUCGUUUUUCUUUUUUAUAGCACGGGCCUAACCCAAAAAAAAAAAAAGAUAAGACAAAAAGGAACAUAAAAUGAAGAAAACCAAAAUUUGUUAUGAGAAAGCAAAAAACAAAUAUUACCAUGAAAGGUAAUGGCAUAAGAACAGCAUUGGGCAGUUCAUCAUCUUUCAAAGCUUUCAACGUCUUCUCCUUCGCUUUUGCUAUCAAUCUAGAAGGAGUGUCCUCAUCUGAACCAUCUCUCAACUCUUCCUCAUCGUCCCUCUCAUCACUGCUACUUCCAUCUCUCAUGGAGUUCAUCUUUCUGGAUAAGUUAGCAUUCAUUUGAAGCUGUUCGGCUAUACCUGCCUUAGUUCCAUCGUAUUUCACAUUCAGUCCACGGCUUAGCAUGCGCUUCGCCCACUUUCCUGUGUUUUUGUGCUUUAACGUCAUACGUUCCUGCACAAGCAUAAAUAAGACAACAUUUUACUUUUAAGAUAAUGUCUUGAUGAAAAUAAUGUGAAGUGAAGAGGAAGUUUCAGACUCACCUCUACUCGUUUAGCCUCUUGUCUCAUAGCCUCUUCUUUAGCCAUUUCCGGGUCCAUCAAUGCCCCCAGUGACGAGUUCUUCAGGUCUUUGUUUUUGAGGCGAUGAUAAGUUGUAGACUUAAUAUUCUUGAUUCGUUUGCUUUUUAGCUCAUGACAGAAGAGCAGGAUCUGCGUUAUAAAUUUAGUCACACAACAAAAAUAAUCAAUAAAAAAUACCGAAAAUAACUAACUCGCCUCACUUAGAUGCAGUCUUUCUAUCAUCUCAAAUGGUGUGGAAGAAGUAUCUAUUACUUGCCUUGGUGAACUCGUGAUUGUUGCUUUCGUUGUCGCCAAUGCUUCUCUGAAAUAUAUAUACUGGUAAAAUCCAUGUAUUAGUUUCUGAUCUGUAUACGUAUAAACCCCAAAGUCCACAAUUUCCUGGUAAUGUAGCCUUUUCUUUCUCUGCAAUAGUUAGUUACCUACACAACACAACCUAAAGUUUUCAAUCAAAACUAUGAGAUUUUGCAACGAUCGGAUCAAAUUAGGCGAUCAGUUACUUUUUUUUUAACCUGAGAACCGCCAUGGCCGUUGCAGCAACCGAAGAAAUGAGCGGUUGAUUGAGGACUGAAACGAUCAUCUUUCAACGAAUUCGUUGGAGAUUGAAGGAAACUGGGUAUCGUGGAGACAUUAUCUUCCAUCUCCGGUCGUCUUCCACACCGUACAAAGGUACCCUCUUGAACUCAAACAGACUCCUGCUCUCUGGUUUGCUUAUCGUCUUCUUCUCAACCGUCGAUCUCUCGUCUGAGCGUUGAUCUCUUCUCCGGUAGCGGUAUCAGCGACUAUCUCCUUUGAUAAUUCAUCGCUGCAACUAUGAAAAUCUGUAGGAUACCUUCCUCGAUUACGUAUGAAGAGGCUGCGCUCGAUUUAAUGCUAAGGCGUUACAGAAAGUUAAUCGCAGAUGGCUUCAUCGAGGAAAGGGUAUUGAGUUUGGUUUUCUCAAUCAAACAGGAUAUUGAGCCCGGAGGAAAAACACUUUAGAAACCCAGAUAAAAGAACAAAAAAGUUUGUUUUGAGUUGCCACAUGGCAUAAAAACCCCAUAUCUGAAGGAUGACGUGGACGCCUGAGAGAGCUGAUAAGCCAAUUUUAUUAUUAUAGAUACAUAAACGGAUGUUUUUAAGUUUAAUAGACUUUUUUUUUAAGUUUAAAAAAAAAAAGUUUAACGGACUUAAAAAUAAAAGAGUCUAAAUGGGCAUGUGUGUAAACAAACAUAAAUUGCAGGGUUUAAAGGGGCAUAACUUUAAUGGACAUGUGGUCAAAACGAACCCAUUACUUAUUAAUAUUAUGCGGACUAACUAUUUCAAGUCAUGAAAAGUUACGUAAGUAAAACCACGUAGAGUUAGUUUAACAAAACAUAUAAGAAGAGGAGAUGAUGACAUUUUAUAAGAAGCUGAGACUUUUCAAGUCAUGAAAAGUUUUUUUUUUUUUUUUUGAUCAAACAAGUCAUGAAAAGUUAUGUAAGUAAAACCACGUAGAGUUAGCUUCAUUGUGUACGGUGUGAUGUGAUUCUGUAAAUAACACAAAUUUUAUUGUUUAUCACAAAGAAAGUAUAUUAUUGUUCUCUAAUUUAUGGAAUAUAUUGAAAACAUAUAUUGGUGGAACUGAAACUGUCUGUUAUACUAAUAGAAAAAGGUUUGUUUUUUUUUAACUCUAGAAAAUAGUUUGGUUUAAAAUGGUUAAGAAUGGCAAAAUGGUCUAUAUGUAGAACACGCUAGUGUACCUUUUUCUAUAACUCAAGAGUAUAUCUCAGGUCCAAAUAAAUCCAGACUAAUUUUUUGGAGAUGUGUGAUGCACAAGUAGGUUUGUGCAUCAUACUUGCGAAAUGGGUAGAAGGCAAAAGUUUAUAUUCAUGUGGGGUGUUCUGUGUCCACAGACAUUGUGCGAUAGUUCCCUUCAGCAUAGUUCGAACUUGCAACAUGGAUGAGGAAUGAGCAUGUCCUUACUAUAUGGCCACAAUAUUAUGGACGCGCCACAUUAGUUUGCUUGAUAAUAUAUCAAAUUUUUUUACUUUUUUUUUUUUUGCUAAAUGGUAAAUAUUCAUUAGUUAAAAUGAAACUAAAAAGUUGCAUAAGCCCCAAAAAAAAGUGUAAAAAGACUUAUGGAGCAGACCGGUAGAAUUAAAAUCUGAAACAAAUUUUAAAAACUACAAUUUCUGAUCAACUUCCGCCAAGGCGGGUAGGAAAACGACGACGUCAUUUAGCACGAACCCUAGUCUCCCGACGACGCUUCCAGGUACGAACCCUAGACUCCCGACGACGCUUUGAAUACAAACCGAAAGACCGGAAAGACUCGCCACACGAACCCAGCAGAGACUGAUGACACCCAUCCUUAGCACGAACCCAGCAGAAACCGACGACGCUUCACGACACGAACCCAGCGAAUUCCUAAGACAAUACUACCAAAGAUCUGAAAAGCGAGCAGGUAACCGAACCCGUCACUACCAAGGGCAAAAGGGAAAGCGGGUUGAAUAGCGGCAGCUACUCCACGAAAUGUAUCACUUUGACACACCGGGACCGAGCAGUCCGCAACCACCAGAGACUCACUCUAGUGCUGGGAUGUUGGAAACUACUCCUCAGGCCACCGAGAUCAGACCAAACCGAAUGACACACCAGUAUAGAACAGGUCUCCUCAGGAACCGUCACUGAGAACCAGUGACAAGCUCGAUCGAGACAGGAGAUUAGCUUGCACGAGCAAAGCUAUAACUCCAUAAGACGUGACUAAAGCGCAGCUCAGAAACGGUGAGCCUCCACGAAAGAAUCAACCGUGAGAGUGUGACGGGAGAGCCAUGACCGGAGAAGAUCAAGGCGGAAGCAUCUCUGUCACGGCAGGAUAACAUAGCCAUAGACGAAUCAUCACCGACACCGUGCAUUGAACAACACACGCCGUCGUCAAAGCGGAAGAGCCGACAUACGACGAAUCCUACACUUUGGACGCGCCUUUGUGGAUUAACCACUCAGAAACCACCUGAACGGUAGCCACACUAGCCUCCUCCGACGAGACGCCAAGCGAAGGAAUGCAUCACGCGCCACUGCUCCACUCCGUCCGAACUCCGAUGAAAUAAACACGACGAUGAAGAACAGAUCCGGUACGGAGGAGUCUCCACACGAGAGCACGCGCCACCAAAUGCCAAGAUUUGUCGUAGAUCUAAAGUGAAAAAGAACCAGAAAAAUCUUGACCCAAAAGCCGACUAGCUUCACUCUGCCUCCGAGACGCACCUCACCGGAAUUCCAGAGAUUGACGACCCUCUCAGUCCAAGCUCCCUCAUGAGAAGGAGGCGGAGAAGAGAUAGUCAACAAUGGACCAGAACACACGAAGCAUAUCGGUACACCGGAAGGGGAGGAGCGGCUAGCAAAAAAGGAAAAGUGAGAGAGGGGAGGAGAAUUCACUCUGACGUCGGCGAUGAGCCGAACGCCGGAGGAGAACAGCGACUGUCUUUGUUUUGCAGGAUUUAGAGAGAGGAAAGAGGUUCUCGAAAAUAUGUCCAAUUUAAAAACUUAAUGUGUAUUCAAUAUUUUCUUUGUAAAUUUUUUACCUUUUCAAACUCGUUUGCUC